CUCACCUGGGGAUCUGGUUAAAAUCCCGAGUCUGUCUCAGUAGGGCUGGGCCGGAGCCUGAGAUUCUGUAUUUUUAACUAGCUCCCAGGUGAUGCUGA
rnacentral:pre_miRNA from 1 species